GUAGGUGGCAAGCGUUGUCCGGAAUUAUUGGGCGUAAAGCGCGCGCAGGUGGUUCUUUAAGUCUGAUGUGAAAGCCCCCGGCUCAACCGGGGAGGGUCAUUGGAAACUGGGGAACUUGAGUGCAGGAGAGGAAAGUGGAAUUCCACGUGUAGCGGUGAAAUGCGUAGAUAUGUGGAGGAACACCAGUGGCGAAGGCGACUUUCUGGCCUGUAACUGACACUGAGGCGCGAAAGCGUGGGGAGCAAACAGGGAUUAGAUACCCUGGUGGUCCACGCCGUAAGCGAUGAGUGCUAAGUGUUGGGGGGGUUUCCGCCCCCUCAGUGCUGCAGCUAACGCAUUAAGCACUCCGCCUGGGAGUACGGUCGCAAGACUG
rnacentral:rRNA from 1 species